UACGAAGGGGGCUAGCGUUGCUCGGAAUCACUGGGCUUAAAGCGCACGUAGGCGGCUUCUUAAGUCAGGGGUGAAAUCCUGGAGCUCAACUCCAGAACUGCCUUUGAUACUGAGGAGCUUGAGUCCGGGAGAGGUGAGUGGAACUGCGAGUGUAGAGGUGAAAUUCGUAGAUAUUCGCAAGAACACCAGUGGCGAAGGCGGCUCACUGGCCCGGUACUGACGCUGAGGUGCGAAAGCUAGGGGAGCGAACGGG
rnacentral:rRNA from 1 species